rnacentral:rRNA from 1 species
CGUAGGGGGCAAGCGUUGUCCGGAUUCAUUGGGCGUAAAGCGCGUGUAGGCGGCCAGGUAGGUCCGACGUGAAAACUGGAGGCUCAACCUCCAGCUGUCGUUGGAAACCAUCUGGCUAGAGUCCGGAAGAGGAGAGUGGAAUUCCUGGUGUAGCGGUGAAAUGCGCAGAUAUCAGGAAGAACACCAAUGGCGAAGGCAGCUCUCUGGGACGGUACUGACGCUGAGACGCGAAAGCGUGGGGAGCGAACAGGAUUAGAUACCUGGUAGUCCACGCCGUAAACGAUGGGCGCUAGGUGUGGGCGGCGUCGACUCCGUCCGUGCCGAAGACUAACGCAUUAAGCGCCCGCCGUGGGAGGUACGGCCGCAGACU